CGUGAGCGGCGGACGGGUGAGUAACGCGUGGGUAACCUGCCUCAUACAGGGGGAUAACAGUUGGAAACGGCUGCUAAUACCGCAUAAGCGCACAGUACCGCAUGGUACGGUGUGAAAAACUCCGGUGGUAUGAGAUGGACCCGCGUCUGAUUAGGUAGUUGGUGGGGUAACGGCCUACCAAGCCGACGAUCAGUAGCCGCCUGAGAGGGUGACGGCCACAUUGGGACUGAGACACGGCCCAA
rnacentral:rRNA from 1 species